GCCUUUGUCACCUCAGAACCCUCCUGCCGUCACCGCUCCCCUGCCCGCCCUUCCUCCUCUCCUCCCAGUCCCGGUUAGGCAAACAAGGCCUGUUACAAGCAGCCAGGGAAGAGGAAAGCGCUAGCGAUGCUGAAAGGACAAAUUAAAAACUAAAACUCCUAAAGCGCCCUGCGAGCCCCAAACACGCUACCGGGGUGCCGCCUCGCCUCCUCCCUCAGACCGGGCUGAGCGCAACUUGCCCACGCAGGAGAAAAGACGGAGGUGCCCUCAAGAUUUUACUUCAGGUUCUCCUGUUUUAUCUCACAGACCUGCUUGUCAUGCUUUAUAACCACUGCUUAUAGCUUUACUUUUCGAGUCUUAACAUUAUCGGACAGCGAAAAAUUAGCAAUGUGUAAGUGGCUCUCCCCUCUCGAGGUAAUGGAACAGUCCGCCGUGUUCCAGGCGCCGAGGCUCCUUCGUUUAACCCCUUUCCUGCCGAUCCCGAAGAAUCUGCAUGGCGGAGGCGGAGUGGGAUCCUGCCGCGGGGUCUGCUGCGCUGGAGCACCGCGGACAGCCAGGAACAUGUGGAAAGACUUCUGGAAGAAAAACUUCUGCAACUUGCAUGAGUGAAGGAGAGCUUUUUCUAGAAACCUCUCAAGUCAUAUGACUGGAUCUACAAAUUUGAGUUCAUUGUCUGCUUAAGGCCAAGAAAGGUUUGACAACUGUAUUUCAUUAAAAUUUUGGACAACUUGAGAAUCAGCAGAGAAAAAUAUGCUGCAAAACAUGAUACAGUAAGAACAAGCUGCUGGAAAACAUGAUAUGCAUAACAUCUUGAACAAAAUGAAUUUUACAAAAAUAUGAAUGAACAAAAUAACAUAAAAUUAAUUCUGUCUGUACAACCAAAGGUGGGAUGGCUUGUGUUCAAAUAUGUGAAGUGUAUCUGAAAACGGGAAGGCAAACACCACUGUUUGUUCUGAGACAAAAUCAGAGGUCAGUUUGCAGAGAGAAAGAUUUAUGUUAAGCAUUAGAGGGAAAAAAAAAGAAAAAUAAAGCCAGUAUUUUCACAAUUUGAUAAUUAAAUACUGAAGUAGAUGGCCUGAAGAUUUAAGAACAGGUCCUGUGAACAGUUUAGAUCUUGUCUUUGGGCAAGAGAAUGGACUAAAAUAAGUUUCCUUUCAAUGAUUUCUGAUACUUAUAUUUUAUAUAUCCUUUACAGAAUUAAGUCAGCUGUGAGAAAAAGGCACAGAGAGUAGCAGAGUAAAUGAACAUAGUUUUUGUCUGAAUUAUUAUCCUCUGUUAAGGAAGGUAGAGAUUUGCAUUGUUAUUUUAAAAACAGAAGACCUGCAUUUGUAGUUUCCCGCUGUAAUAUAAGUUUGCAACAAAGAAAACCUAAGUUUAAUCUCUCUAAUGAGACAUAGACGAUAAUAAUUUUUUAAUAAGUCAUUGUAUUCUGUAGCUAAUGGGAUUUGUACCUAUUGGAAUGUAUUUCAUGUAGUUCCACAGUAACAUAAGGAAGGUAAAACCUAAACUCUUUUUAAGAAGGACUGAUUUGAGGUAGUCCUUUUAUUUAAAACCUUUCAGAUUGUACCUCUUGUGAAAUGAUUCAUUUCUAAUGAAUCUGCAUCAGGCAUGAGCUGCAGAGCAUGACUUGUGUAGGUGAGCUCUAGAUGCUGCAAUGACAACAGCAAUGACUCAAGACAACUGUCUUGAACCUCGUCUUAGCUCCGGGACUACAUUUAAAACACUGAAUUAUGUUGAAUGAAAUUUAAAGCGUGGAGCUACAGUUAAGAAGCCUUUUUCUGCCAAUUACACUGUGCACAUUAUUCAAUAAUAAAUUGUAUUGCCUUUUAA